rnacentral:rRNA from 1 species
CCUACGGGGUGCAGCAGUGGGGAAUAUUGGGCAAUGGGCGCAAGCCUGACCCAGCAACGCCGCGUGAAGGAAGAAGGCUUUCGGGUUGUAAACUUCUUUUCUCAGGGACGAAGCAAGUGACGGUACCUGAGGACUAAGCCACGGCUAACUACGUGCCAGCAGCCGCGGUAAUACGUAGGUGGCAAGCGUUAUCCGGAUUUACUGGGUGUAAAGGGCGUGUAGGCGGGAAAGCAAGUCAGAUGUGAAAACCAUGGGCUCAACCUGUGGCCUGCAUUUGAAACUGUUUUUCUUGAGUACUGGAGAGGCAGACGGAAUUCCUAGUGUAGCGGUGAAAUGCGUAGAUAUUAGGAGGAACACCAGUGGCGAAGGCGGUCUGCUGGACAGCAACUGACGCUGAGGCGCGAAAGCGUGGGGAGCAAACAGGAUUAGAUACCCCGGUAGUC